rnacentral:rRNA from 1 species
CAGCAGCCGCGGGAAUACGGAGGGUGCAAGCGUUAAUCGGAAUUACUGGGCGUAAAGCGCACGCAGGCGGUCUGACAAGUCAGAUGUGAAAUCCCCGGGCUUAACCUGGGAACUGCAUUUGAAACUGUCAGGCUGGAGUCUUGUAGAGGGGGGUGGAAUUCCAGGUGUAGCGGUGAAAUGCGUAGAGAUCUGGAGGAAUACCGGUGGCGAAGGCGGCCCCCUGGACAAAGACUGACGCUCAGGUGCGAAAGCGUGGGGAGCAAACAGGAUUAGAUACCCGAGUAGUCCCUGUCUCUUAUAU